AGUUAUAUAGUUUAAUUAAAAUAUUAAUUUUGUAAAUUAAAGUUAAAAUUUAUUUUUAUAACUA
rnacentral:tRNA from 1 species